CCGCACAAGCGGUGGAGCAUGUGGUUUAAUUCGAUGCAACGCGAAGAACCUUACCUGGUCUUGACAUCCACAGAACUUUCCAGAGAUGGAUUGGUGCCUUCGGGGAACUGUGAGACAGGUGCUGCAUGGCUGUCGUCAGCUCGUGUUGUGAAAUGUUGGGUUAAGUCCCGCAACGAGCGCAACCCUUAUCCUUUGUUGCCAGCGGUCCGGCCGGGAACUCAAAGGAGACUGCCAGUGAUAAACUGGAGGAAGGUGGGAUGACGUCAAGUCAUCAUGGCCCUUACGACCAGGGCUACACACGUGCUACAAUGGCGCAUACAAAGAGAAGCGACCUCGCGAGAGCAAGCGGACCUCAUAAAGUGCGUCGUAGUCCGGAUUGGAGUCUGCAACUCGACUCCAUGAAGUCGGAAUCGCUAGUAAUCGUGGAUCAGAAUGCCACGGUGAAUACGUUCCCGGGCCUU
rnacentral:rRNA from 1 species